GCAAAGGCGCCUUUUGGACCCUAUAUGACUCUGAAGGGCCCUCCACACUCGUGCGAAUCGAGGCGCGAAGCCGCGAACGCGAGUGUGGAUGGCCCUCGCGUCGAUUUCGCAGAUUGUUCACGCCUUAGCGCCUUAUUCCCCGUUUUUAGUCGAUAUUUGGGCCGCGUCAAAGGAGAAGCAAAGCGCGAACUUGCAAGACUCCACACUCGCAAUCGCUUCGCGCCGCGAUUCGCUCACGAGUCGGUUAAUCUGUUAAACUGUCAUAACCUUCUAUGGCGGCUACUUGGUUAUUGGGUGCGAACUUGAUUAACCAAAAAUCAAUUUGACAGUUCCUAGUUUGAAUCAGUGCCUUGCCGCAAACUAAAUCCGAUCAGCCGGCCAUCCGAAAUCGCUGUGAAGUUGUGCGAGUGUGGAGUCUACGUUAACGUCGCUUUAUGUUCGCUCCGCGAAGUCGCGCCGCGAUUCACGCGCAUAGUCUGGAGGGGGCCUAAGGGAAGCGUCUACUAUGACCUCGGUAGAGUCAAUAGCAUCCUAGCCAAAGUGCAAACGCUAGAAUAACAAUUUUUGACGCUAGUUCGAAUUUGGGGGUAUAUGUUUUAUUAUUGAGCGCUCAAAUAUCACCAUAAAUCUAAAGCCUGACCAGUAAUAUAUCAUCACGCGCCAUAUUGCGGAAUUUUAUUGGAACUAAAAAUUUCGUACUAAACUGAACUGUUACUCUAUACAUGAAAAUAACAGCGCCCUCUUGACAAUGAUCAUAUAUUUCUGGUCGGGCUUUAAAAGUAUUUUUUAUAUAUCAAAUAUUGUUAAAGAUGUUCUGGUAUUUUGUGAAACGGAAAAUGAUUAUAAGGCCCGACAUCAGGACUGAUUUCGGGCCCGAUAUCAGGAAGUCUGGAUGUAAUUGGCCCAUUAAGCUGCCUGGCAACCUUGCAUAUGUUGUCAAAUUCGGUAUGACAUGAUCAACUUGAUCAAGUGACACACAAUUGACCAGCCGUAUAUGAGCAAUGAGCGAUUAUAAUCUAUUUUAUUUAUCCUGAAAAUAUACUUUCCAAGCGAAGAAAAAUUUCAAAUUUAGUUUAUCGAUAGCUAAUGUAAAGUUGAAUGCAGUGUGCCUAUUGAAUAUUAUACAACGUUGUUUUUAAUGAAACGCCCUGUCUUUGAAAAUAAAUAAAGGGCUAUGACUCUCCCGCUGCCGAUACCGCCUUGCGCCAAAAGGGAUGGCCUGAGUGGACUGAGCUGCGAACAAUUCGAGUACGCUAGCACAAUGGCUACAACAUUGCUGGCACCAGUAAAAACUGAGAGAGAGAUCCUGGAGCACUCGAUGUCGGAAGAUGACCCGAACGCGAAUACGCAGCUCUCCAGUGAAGUGGGGAAGCAGCCGCGCUGGGGCCCGCGGCACCGAGGGGCGCAGGAGCUGGCUGAACUUUACAGCCCAGGCAAGAGACUACAGGAAUGGGUGUGCGUGGUGGUUUGUUGCACAUUGUGCGUGUGUGCAGGCCUCCUGAUGGCUCGGCACAUUCGUGCUGAUGUCUCCUUAUUAUUGGCAGCAAUAGCUGGUGUUCUAACAGCUGACUUUGCUUCGGGUUUUGUGCACUGGGCUGCGGACACUUGGGGAGCAGUUGACCUACCUAUUAUUGGCAAAAAUUUCCUGAGACCGUUCCGUGAGCACCACAUUGAUCCUACUUCAAUAACGCGACAUGACUUUGUGGAAACUAAUGGUGACAAUUUCGCUAUUACCAUACCCGUGCUAGGGCGGAUCGUAUGGCAGCUAUUGACGUUUGACAAUACGAGUAUCGAGAGAGAGUUCCAUUGGAUUGCGUACUGGUACUUCUGUUGUAUUUUUGUGGCAAUGACUAAUCAGAUCCACAAAUGGUCGCACACAUACUUCGGUCUGCCGUCGUGGGUGGUGGCGCUCCAAGAAUGGCACGUGGUGCUGCCGCGGCGACACCACCGCAUCCACCACGUGGCGCCGCACGAGACUUACUUCUGCAUCACCACCGGCUGGCUCAACUGGCCGCUCGAGAAGUUACGCUUCUGGUCCACUCUAGAAAUCGUGAUUGAAGCCUUGACGGGCUGCAAGCCGAGGGCAGAUGACCUGAAGUGGGCCCAAAAGCGUUCCUAAUGGGAGGAAAAGUAGGACAUUGCGUGCCGCGUGUAAAAUUGUCACCCGAGCCGAAGGCGAGGAAACACGCGGGAUUUUUCUGCUCGACGGAGGCGGAAAUGUACUUCGUUUAGCGCAGCGGGAGCAAAGUUGACGCUUUCCGCCCGGAGGGCAGAAAUAGUUAUUUGUACAACAAGAGAGCAAAGUUUGAUAUUUCUUCGAGUGCUUGUUUUGAGUCCCGUGCAAGCGAAAGAUUCUAUAAUAGAAUAUAAUAUAAUAUAAGAUUCUAGAAUCUUGAGCGUAGUAAGGGACUCAAAAGCGCACGAGAUGUAAAUAACUUUGAUCUCGUGUCGUACACAAAAAAUUUCACGUCAGUCAGCCAUCAAAAAAUACAAUCUAAAAAAAAUGUAAUCCGUCUUCAUCACAAUUUCACUCAUGUUUUCUGACGGUAUUCUCACAAUUAACUUUAAUUACCGCAAUAAAACAAAACGAAAUAAAUUUAAAUCAACUAAUACGAAAAUAAUGAAUUAACGAACAUCAAUUGACAGUUCAAUCGACAACUUUUUUUAUGUAAAAAAAACUUUGUAAGAUACGGUCCGAAUUGCGGAUACUACUAUUUGUCAACUAUAGUAGAGGUCGUUAAAAGUAGUUAAGUAGAAUUAUUUACUGCGUAACAAUUGCGUAAAUUUGUAUAACUUCAUUGUCUUGAUUGUAUAAUAAAAUACAGAAAAUAUGGUGUUUUUAUUAAACUUUUAUUUCAUUAAUUAAUUAUUACAAAUAAAGACUCGUAGGGUGUUUUGGAAAGAUGCGGUCUGACUUAUUUCGGGGGUCUAUUAUAAACCGUCAAUAUACUGUUGAAUUACUUAUGCCCUUUUUUUGUCUCUUUCUUUUUGCUAAUGACCUGAAAGGGACAAAGAUAAUAGAAUCCAAAUACUUCGAACUUGUAUUAGGCCCCGCACGCUGAAAUGACAUUCGAAUAUAAAGGUCACUUGAAUGUUAUUUUGUCUCACUCAGUGAGCAAAAUGCGAUUUUGCUCACUGUUUUUAAGCAGCAAAUUACCCUUGUUCGAGCUGCUGACGUGAAAAAUAUAUUGUCGCUCAAAAUAUAAUCAAAAAGUGUAUGCUCUGGUAGUUACGACUACAUUUAAAAAAAUCUCUCAGAAUUGUUUUACAGCACCUACGUCUAGUUUAAGUUUGCGGUUAUAUCAAAAAUUAUAUUAUGAUUUUAAAAGUUUUGGAUAAGUAUUAUGAAUAUUCCUGGGAAUGGCACAUCACUUCGCAAGGCAGCUUUAUAUCAUGAGCAAUUGAGCAUUACUUAUGUUAUUUCAGAAUUUAUUUUUUAUAAACUAAGCAUUUACAAAAGUUAUUAAGUUAUUAAGCACAUUAAUACGAAAAAGGUCUAACACAUAUAAAUUCAUAAAAACUUUAGUACCUACCUGCAGCUUAAUAUCGUACAUCAUUAAUCGAAAAAAUAUUUCAAGAGUAUGUUAAUUAGGUAAGUAGAUGCCUAAAAAUAUUUCGGGUCACAAUUUAUAUUUUACCCUAUAUUUUGGUUACGUCAUCAAACAUCGAAACAAAAUAAGAGACUGUAUUAUAAUGCCGUGAAACGUUUUGAGCGUUUUGAUAUUUCUACUUACACAAUAUUUAUGACAAUGAUACAUGUAGAGAUGAUUAAGGAUAUUGAGAUUCAUUUAAUCUAAGAAACAUAAAUUCACUACAAUAUCCGUUGAGAUCACCAAAGUGGAUCCACCAUUAUGUAUGUCAUGUUCUUUUUCAUAGUGGUGAGCUAUAAAGAAUGUUUGUAUUGUAUUGUGGAUCAUACAGUUAAUUAUUGGAGGUAUACUUCUUAUGAGUUAUGGAAAUACCUAGCUGGUAUAAUGAAGUUAUUAUGUACGUAAAAAUAAAGGCGUUGAAUCUACAUUUGAUGUCAAAGACGAUCUCCUAAAUUACUACUUUAGGUAAUUAAUAAGUUAUAAAUGAAUAGUUUCGAUUUUUGACCGGUUUAAUCAGUUAUGAUUUCCGGUCAUGUGUGAGACUUAUUUUUAAAUUAAGGAGUGCAAAUUUAAUUUUCUAAUAUUGGCCUCGUGGCUCCCAAGAACAAAUUCCCGUUUUGUAAUAGUUUCUAAUGUUAUCUCUCUUGUUUCACAUUGUUAUUUUAUGUGUUCUAAUAAAUCUGUAUAUCCGAAUGGGUGAUUCAUUUAGGCGAUCUUAGUGGAUAUCGUGAUCAUUAGUUAUUAUUCUAUUUUAAUGUGAAACGUGGAAACGGGGCUUUUACAGUAACAGGCGAUGCAUGUGUUUUCUUAUGUAUUUGAGCAAAAUAACACUUUGAAUGUGCAAUUUACUUAAAUCAUUUAAUGUUUUAAUUUGUGGUUAUUCCCAGUUGUUACCACCAGUGGUAAUAGGUGGGUUCUUUUUUCAGUAGUAUGUACCACCAACAUUUUGUUAAGAGUUCAAUACCUACGAAUAAAACAGUAUAAAUACAGAGUGCUUUAAUAAAUAAUUAUAUGUCGAAUAAAUAUUAUAAUAGUACGAAAUGAAGUAGCUAUUAGUUCUGUCGGUUUUUGACUGAUUUGUUUGUCCAUACAAAUAGUUCAAUUUACAAUUAAUGACAUCAAUUUCAUAUAAACGUUAAUUUCUCUUUAACUAUUUUAGUUUUACACUUGUACUGAUAAAACGGUAUUAAAAUUUUUGAUCAUUUUAUAAGCAGAUUACUGAAACACUAAUCUACUUAGAAUUAUUUAUUAAAGCACUCUAUAUUUAUAAUAUACUUUUUAUACUGUUUAAAAUUUUGGUGGUAACGAAUGGGAAAAAACCAGUUGUUACCACUGGUAACUAACUGGGUGGUAACAGCUUGGAAUAACCUGAAUCUGCCGAACCCUGUGUAUUAUUUUAAGUGUUCAAACUAAACGCAUCACCAAUAAUGAUUGAAACUAUGGCCUAGCUAAUUAUCAAUAACAUGUUUUUAUCAGUGAUGUGAUAUUUCACAUUAAUUAUUGAGUACAAAUGCAUUACUUUACAUCACCAUUGGUCAUGGUCCUGUAUCUGUUCUCCUGUGUUCUGUGUCCUGUAUUGUAAUUUAAAGUUUUAAUUUUAAAUAAUAGAACGAUAUACUUUAAUUUUGUACGUUUAAAUUUGUACAUAUUUUUAUCUACACAUGUAUCAUAACAUAAACCUUCUAUGAUGCGUCCAAGAACCGCAUAUUACGCCCAUCAUAAGAAAAUACACUGCUUUGUUGAAAUGUUAUGUCUGAAAACAAAGGAAUUGGAUUUGACCUUUAUUCUUAUAACAGCUUAGCUGAGAUGACGCUUUAUUAGCAGUUGGAGCCGACUUUAUACGAAUACGAAUUUAACAUUAUUUUUUUUCAUUUUUUUUUUCAAAAUUAUAGUUGUCAGGUUUUCCCCUGUACUUGUAGUAUAAGACGAUAUUACUUGCCAAAUUUUAUUUCUGGGUCAACGGAAAGUGCCCUAUAAUUUUGAUUCCCUUGAGAGUGAAUAUACGUUUUUUGUGGCAUAAACGGCCUUGCUUGUUUUUUUUUUACGUUAACUGAGAAGUUUACAUUUUUUACAAGCUUUUAUAUAGUUGCACCUGUUCCGUUAUCUGUCGGUCUGUAAUCAAAUCUCGCAAGUUAAAUUUGAUCCACUUCCCAGUUUCCGAUUGAGCUGAAAAUUUGCAAACAUAUGUUAGUCGGGUGACAAUGCAAUAUUAUGGUACCAUCGAGCUGAUCUGAUGAUGGAGACAAGAGCUGGACAUAGGAACUCUGUGAUAAAACAACGCAACCUAAUUGUGUUUAGAAUUUUUAUAAUUGCCUCGAUGAGUAUUAGUUGCCUAUGGAAAGAAAAGUACAGUCAGCGAUAAAAGAUUGUACCAAAAAUUAUAUUUUUGCCAUAAACUUAUUACAGCUUCAAGGGACUGUAGUGUAGACCUGAGUAUAUGUUUUUAAUUUCAUCUUUAUUCCUGCACGACAGCAAAGUGAUCCUAUUAGGGUUCCGUUUUUUCCUUGUAAGGUACGGAAUCCUACAUGUAUAAGUUUGUUUCUGAAUAAAAAAAUUACGGUUGCUUGAGGUGCGUGAAAAAAGUUUCCUUUUACCGCCAUUUGACGUUCAGUUAAUUUUGUCGUAAAAAAUUGUUUGUUUUGUUGUUUAAAAACUAACUAUCGCACCACUCUUGUAAAAAGAGCGAUCUAUUAUCGCUCGAUCAAUCUGAGUAUAAUUAAUCAGUAAGCGAUAUAUCAGAGACGCGACCUGAUAUUUGCAACUGCAAGCAAUUGUAUCAUGCGGUUCCUGACCACAUCAUAGAGAGCUUAUAAUAUGUUUGUAGAUAAAACGGUUUAUGUAACUGUACAUAAUUACGCACUUCGUUCGUUUCAUAAACUCACGCUCCUAUUUUAAUGCCUUUCAUUAUGUAGCAGUCAGCAGUCGGUAGCAUAACUAAUAUUAAGCGAGGCGUAGGCUAGCAAGAACUUGCAUGCAAUUUACGUUACAUUGUCGACUACUAACUAACGUAAACUGCAUUCAAAAGUUUGAUCGGAUAACGAAAUCAAAUGUAACGAAAAUCGCAUUCAAGUUCUUGCUAGUUUACACCUCGCUUUAUAAAAAACUAAUAAGUAGGUAAUUUUAUUGGCUACCAUUAUUAAAUUCUAGCCAUUGUGAGCUAAACUUGACGUCAAUUAUUGUUGAGAGCUAUUUAUUUCGCUCCGAGUGAGUACGCCAGUAGACGACCGCACGUUAUAAGGGCCGGCUAGUCGGUAAAGAUGAUCAACCAAGCUUUUAAAGGUCCCUUAUCACCCUGAACUUGGUAGGGCGCAAAUAAAACCACCGUCUACGUGGUUAAGAACUAGCAUCAUCUUGGCCCGGAAACUUUCGUUCUUAACAAAAUUUUGUUUUUUUUUUUCUGAGACCGGGCCGAGAGACUGGUAAAAAUGGCAAGGGAUCGAGCAUAAACCCAGUGUUAGAAAGAAGUGAGUCUAAAUCAACUCGUUAUUACGAGAAUAAGCGCUUAAAAAAUUUUCAAGUCCAGAGUCGUGUUCUUUAUUGAGUAUUUUUUAAGCGCAACUCAAAAAGACUUAGCUGUCCAAUUAAAGACUCCGUCAACAGUUUUAUAGGUUAUAUCUAAAUAAGUUUAAAUAACAAUAAAGAAGAUAGGCCUAAUUGUAUGAUUUGUCUAUCUUACACAUGAAUUUUGCAUGAACGCAGUUGCAUGUUUAAUAACAUUUUGUUAGUAAAUUGAGAGUUAUCUGAAAAGGACUCUACAAACUACUCGGGUCUCUAAUAAGUUAAAAAGGACUCGAGCUUCGACUUAAUUAUAAGUCUCAAAAACUUGAGUCGAGUCUUAAAGCAGAGGACUCGAAGGACUCGAGUCCAACACUAGCGCUAACUGCGAUAUAUUUAGAUAUUUGUUUUGGCAAUCAGGGUUUGAAUCGCGUUUUUAUCACACGAGUGCUUCAACCACAAAAACUAAUUAAACUAACAAUUAGUUAGAUAUUACGCGUACAAUGGCCGAUAUACCUAACUCGGGAAACGGGGCCCGCGUCAUUGGAUUUUGUCCUACAAUAUAUACCGUUGUCGCUCAAAUAGCCUUUCCUUAAAAUAAAUCGCAACUGUUCGCAAUAUAUAUAUAGGUAUAGUUAUUUUCAUACCGAGACAGAACCAUGGACAAAACCUACUGAGUUGUGGAGGCAUGCACCGCAGGCACGGGCUCGUCGAAAAGACGACUAUACGGAGUUGCAUAGGCUAUUUCAUGGGGUAGCUUGCGAAGACCAAAGAAUGUUAAAGAAUUUAGUUGUUAUUUAUUCUGUGGCAAUAGGCAUGGCUUUAAUAUUAAUAUUUCUAAUACAAUCUUAAGUUUAGAACUUUAGAUGGUAGUGGUGCCUUCAAAGCUAUGAGCUAUUGCAGACUGUAAAGGUUGAAAUAGUUAAGAGUACCUAAGUUAAGGAGGGCGGAGUAAGGAGUAAGGCAUUUCAUGUUUUAGUAGUUUGAAGUAUUGUAAACACUUUGUUAUAGUUGGCAGAAUAUUGUUUGAUACUUAUAUCGGCGAAAACCGAGCGAAUCCAUCAAAGUAGAGGUAUAUUAGUAGAUUGUGUCACAAGGGAGCUAAAUUAUAUAUUUACGGCGAGGGCGUACAUUUGAUCCUGAACGACUCGAACGAAAUCCAAAGCGUGUCAGGUAUUCAAGUGUUAAUAACGCCCAAGGUUAAUAUAAUAUUGCUACCAUGUGACACAUAACUUCUUCUUUUCACACCACCUAUGAGGAAAAUAAAAGACCGGCCACCGGCGCGCAACUCAUGUGACGUUACCCACGCCAGACAGCCCUGUCUGUAUAAACAGUCAUAGAAUUCAUAGAACAGAAAAGUUCCACUUUAAUCCCUCCUUGGAGGCAAACCAAACCUCGCAUCCGAAUGGGUGGUGUGAAUUUUUAUUUGAAUAAAUUAAAGUAUUUGUCAUUGGAAAAAGGGUGCCUAAUAUUAUAGUUUUGUUAUCAUCGCUUUUUAUGAGCUUUUAUAAGGGAAUGGGGCCUUAUUAAAUUGAGAUACUACUUUAUUAUGUAAUGUGUAACACUUUGAUACCUACAUAUAUUAAAAGAGUAACAAGAACCUUGAAUUCAAACAGCAAUGUCGCAUCCUGUACAGCUUAUUUCAUUUGUAUCAGAGCAAAAACAGAGUUGCCUAUUACGCAGGUACCUUGAUUAGGAAGAUGCAUUGUGGUAACGUGAGAGGGGUCACUUUGAAAAUCGUCAAUAGAUAUAAACUAAACCAGUACCCCUAGUGUAAAUUUUAUCGACAUCAUAACGUGACGAACGCGGUUUGCGUUAAGUCUCAUUUUGUAUAGGAUUUUGAGUUUCCAAAACGUCCCGCUUGGCGCGCUCUUUCUAAAUCCAAUACAAAAUGAGACUAAACGCAAACGCGUACGUCACGUUUCAAGAUCGAAUUUAUUUACACUAGGAGUACAGAAGCACUUGGGUAAGUAGUACUGUAACGCUUACCAAGGCAUCUUGCUUACCGUUGCUACAGCGGAAAGUGCUUCUAGUUUUAGUAGAUAUUUGCUGUUUUCAAUAUUGUCUCGUUUUCACAUCAUAUAUUAUGUACCUACAAAAAGCGCUUCUUACAUCUACACGGUCACCGGGCACUUUUUAUAGUGCCUGGCGACCGUGUAGAUGUACCUAGAUGUAAUUAACUAAGCGUUUAAGGUGAAAUCAAACGGUUCAUUUUCGUGUUUUAUUCUUCAUCUUUCACUCAAAGUGUCACGUCAGAACACAACGAAAAAUUAAGAAUGUAGGUAUUCAUUAGUGAAACGAUCCAUCAUUAUUGGAUAUUUUCAUUCUUCAUCAUUCACUCGUACUCCGAAAUAACAAAACAUGAUUCAUUCGCCGUCUUAUGAAAUAAAAUAAAAUAAGUGAACGUUUAUUUUAGCUAACCCGUGUGAACAUGGAAUGAAAGUAAAAUUAAACACUCACUCAAGAGAACGUUCAUUCGAAUGAACCGUCUGAUAUGUAUCACCUUUAACACGCUUUGCCAAUAUUCUUGACGAGAUUGUUGUUCUGAGUUAUAUGAACUCAACCAUCUACACUAAAGUUAAAGUAUUUACAACUUUAAUCGGUUUUUAAUUGUGAUACAAGUGCGAAAAAUAGGAAAUUCGCAACGAGGGUAUUUAAAUUAAAACACGACCGCAGCCACCGCAGCAGUGGCGUAGCGUGCCUUGGCGGGGCCCCGUAUAAAAAUUUGUUUGAGGGCCCUUAAGAAGGGUAAAGAUUUCUUACAAAAACGCACGUUGGGGGCCCCGUAUAAUUGAUACGGCGGUAGUUACGCCGCUGCACCACAGGGAGUGUUUCAAAUCGACACGAGUUGCGAAUUGCCUAUUCGCACAUGUAAUCGUACCUUUUACAGUAGGUACAUUCAGCGUCAAAUACUUCGUAGCAGUCAAAGAGGCCAAAUAGUUCGGUACACCAUACCAAAUAUAUGGUGUACCGAACUAUUUGGCUACUUUGACUGCUACGAAGUAUUUGACGCUGACUGUACUAUCAUAGUCAGGCUUCGGAGUAUUUUUAGCACGUUAAGAUUUAAGUGUGCUAUGGAGUCGUUGUUAACUUCAAAAUUAAAGUCAUACUCAUACGCAUCCUCAUUAAUUUAAUUCAUAAAAACUAUAAAAAAUACACCAGUAUCUUAAUUGACGAAUAACAAAUAAUAUGCAGGUAUUACAAUAACUCCACAGAACAAUCAAUAUCCACAGAACACGUAGCUACAGGAAUGAGUUUUUCAUAAUCUUCACGUUGCACACAUUCAUCAUUCCAGUUGUAAAAUGUGUAAAUAAGUGACACUUUUUCCAUGUUCUUUGGAGUGAAACAUGUUCUAUGUUGGUUAAAAAUCCACUUAUGAUUCGAAAAAGACCUUUCUACAUCGACUGAAGUUAAAGUAGCAUAUUUUAGAAGUUCCUCAAAUUGUUGUGAGCUUGCCAUUAGGGAUUGCAAAUAUUCGAAAGUUUCAGGUAUUCGAAUAUUCGAUUUUUUCUAACGAAAUAUUCGAAUAAAAUUCAAAUAAAAGAAAUAAGAAAAGAACGAGAAAUCGGUUUUAUUAUCAUUUUAUUCAAAAAACUAUUUGCACAUAUUGCAAAAACUAAUGAUAUUUUGCAGAAAUCCACUUAAUUGACUAGACUUUAUCAUCCUACUGAGAUGCCCACAUUUAUGAUAAUAAAAACGAGUCGAAACGCAAAAAUUAGACGUAUUCAAUAUUUCUAGAUAAAACUUUUAGUAUAAAUGUAUCGUUGUGUGAAUUAAUAUUAUUAUAACUAUAACCAUCCAAACACGUAAGAAAAAAACUGGAGUAGGUGAUUAUUUUCCGAUUUAAAUUUAAUAUUUACUUUUCGUCAGUCAGUUGGCUAUAAAAAAGCCUUUCCAUUGUAUUUUGAACCUAUUUCAGUCCGACACGGACAGUUGAGUGAUUUAGCAUCGAAAAAAGUGUUAGGCAAGGAUGUGUAGCGUCACCGGGGCUGUUUAAUCUACUCAUGGAGACUAGUUUGCAUUGCAUCAUUUGAGAAAUGAUGAAUGUGGGCUGAGAAUGAGUGGGUCAAAUGUCGUCUUUACGCUGAUGACCUUGUAUUGCUAGCGUCAUCGGGUGAAGAGUUGCAGGAGAUGGUAACUAAAAUGCAUGGGUCUAUUGAAAGGAAAGGAAUGAAAAGAAAUGUAUGCAAGACGAAAAUAAUGGUAUUUGGAAAGGAAGAAAAUAUGACAAACUGUGAAAUUUUGAUAGGUCAAGAAAGAGUGGAACAAGUGAAAGAGUUUGUUUAUCUGGGAACCUUGUUCACUAGGGACGGUAAGCAUGAUAACGACAUUGAAAGGAGAGUAAUUUCUGGAAAUAGUGUGAAUGGGGCACUUGACGCUUUUAUGAGCAGCCAGAAGGUGUCACAAAAAGCACGGUUGGAUGUGCAUAUAUUGGUGCCCACACUUAUGUAUGGUAGCAAAAGUUGGGUAUGGCAGAAGAGGCAUCAGAGCCAAGUGGAUGCAAUGGAAAUGAGAGUGUUGAGAAGUGUGUGUGGUGUGAGAUUACAAGAUAGAAUUAGGAACAGUGUGAUAAAGGAAACGUGUGGACUGAACGAAGAUGUAGUGACAAUAAUUUAAAAAGGUAUGUUGAGAUGGUUUCGAUACGUGGAAAUAAUGAGUGAAAGAAGCCUAGUAAAAAUAGUUUAUUUGAAAUCGAGUUAGGUUUAGCUGUAAUUUCACGAAACCUAUCGAGAGAGAAAAACAAUAAAAAUAUUAUUUCCUUCGCAUUUGGAUACCUACCGUUACCGUUCACUGUAAAAAAUACCCGGCAAAACACAUAAACGGUAAGAAUAGCGGAUGAUUGAUGUAUUUUGAGUAAUAAAAAAUAUUCGAAUAUCAAAACAGGUCGAAUAUUCGAAUUGCAAGCCCUACUUGCCAUCAUUCGUAUUUCAUGAAUAUCUGGGUUCAUUUCAAGAACUUUUUCUAAUUAAUCUUUAAUUGUCUCAGGGCCAAAACAUGUUAAAAUUGUGUAAUGUCGUCUAUUAUUUGAAACGCUUGCUUUAUUGGAAUACUAGUACACUAAUUUUAAAACAAUAACUUGAUAAAACUAAGCUAGUUUGGCAUGUUCAUAUCCAGCAAUGCGGUUUGAGCGUUUGCCAUUACGAUGGCUUCUUUUCUUGGAUAUUGAUUAUAUUUUUAUGAUGUAAAAUUUAAUUAUAUAUAUGUAAACAGUAUAACAUAUACCUAAGUAGUCAGAAUAUUUUAAAACUAUCCGGACGAAUUUAAUUAAUGAGGAUAAGUAUGAGUAUGACUUUCAUUUUAAUGUUAACAACGAGUCCAUUUAGACUCACUUUAGUCUUACCAUGCUAAAAAUACUCCGAAUCCUAGUAAUAUAGUACAGUGCGAAAAAUAGGAAAUAUGAAACGAAUGGCGAUAAAUAUAAAAUUUAUUUAAAUCGACACGAGUUGCGAAUUACCUAUUCGCACAUGUAUCGUACAACAUUUUACAGUACAUAUGGUCCUUUAAGUUUUUGACAUAGUUACGUAAUGUGCUAAUUAUCUCACUAGUGCGGUAAAGUAGCGCCAUAUGUACUGUAAUUUUUCGUUUACCUAACGUGUAGAUAUUAUCCCAGAAACAAAGUAUCAUAACUAAUACUAUAACUAAUUAUUCUCAUAUGGGUGGGACGUGCGGCAAAGCAUUUCACACCUCUCUUGUCCUUUUGUGUUCGUAAAGUACUAUUAUAACAUUUAUGACCAAUCUGUGCCAAUGAUAUUUCGUCCACUAUAUCUAUUAAAAUUUCCCACUAAGCAAUCUCGGAUAAAAUAAGCCAUAAUUUUGAUCUCUUUAUGCUAACAGACUUAGUUCAUAGAUUAUGAAGAAAAAAAACUAUGGGGCGCGCAGGAAUGGUACCUAAUUCUAUUAAUUUCACGCAGUCGUUCUUGCUGUGCUGGCAACGUGGUUCACGCGUCCGAGUUUCGAUCCGGAGGUAAUAGAGUCAGAAGGGCUGAGGCUGAGUAGUUGAGUCCGGCUAAGUGAACUUUAGACUUGACCAGAACAAAGUGUCAUUAUAAACGUCAUAUAUUUAUAGAAAUUCGACCUUCAUUAUCCCUUCAAGUGGAAUUUAACACGUGAAUCACGUAAUGAAUGGUCGGGUCGAAAAGCAGUAAAAUGGCGGCCCAUUACUCACGGGUCGAUGAGAACCAGUAAACUGACGGCCACCAGUGAGUGGUUAGUGAGGUGUUGCCGUAUUUAGAGGCAAAAUUGAACGUUUUUAAGCAUAGUUAUGCUCUUCUAGUGCCCAAAAGUAGUAGGUAGUGAGUUAGACAAGGGUAACGUACCUAACAACAGUAAGAAAAACAUUACUAUAUUAAAAACACGAAAUUUGUUGGUGAGGACCGUUCAUUCUAGUGCAGGGGUGGCCAACAGGUCGAUCGCGAUCGACCGGUCGAUCGCGACUGUUAGUCCAGUCGAUCGUGGCAAGGCAAAAAAUAUAAAUACGUAGACCAGUUUCACUUAAGGUUUCAAGAAGUAUGUAAUUGGUAGAUCGCACAGGGUUUCGUUAGUAAACAGGAGAUCUUGGGUCUAAUCAUGUUGGCCUCCUCUGUUCUAGAGCGACCACCUAGACAAUGUUCAGUCAUCAUUUUUAAGAGGUUGCUUUGUAAAAAUGAUUGUAAUUUGUAUCGUAGGUUCACUAGAAUUAAAUCGACCGGGAUAUGGACCGUGAUUACCUUUUAUAUUGUUUUCCUACUCCUCUACUGUUAUCUGUCAUUUAUGCACUCAUUAACACGAAUAUAAGAACAUACAUAAAAGGUUUCAAGAAAAGUCUAUAUUGUCUAUUCCUCAUAACAGCUCUUGUGCUUUAAUCGCUAUAACGUUACUGCGAUUAAUGGCUACCAACCUAACAAAAUCAAAACGAAUACAGUUUUAAACUAAGCAUUGCUGCCAACUUACAAAAUAUUCAUUUGGUUGCAUAGUAAAAACAAUCACUUCAUAAGUCAGAAACACGCAUGUGACACCCGUAAUAUAGCAACACCCAUAGAUUACGAAGACCGCUUAGCGUUGCUUGUUAGUCUCCGUAGGCUACGGUGGCCAAAAUCGAGGAAAAACUGUCCAAAAAUUUAAUUUAGCAAGUACCAGGGCCUCAUGAGUUACGAGAAGGUGUCGCCGACCGGCCGGCCGCGGCCCGCGGCGGGCCGGGCGCGUAACAAGGUGUGCUCGCGCGUCUUGGCUGUAUACUUUUGCUUAGUUUGCCAAAAUUAAGAUUUAUUUUUGUUGACUCGUAGGAAAAGUAUUGUAUGCAACGUUGUAUAAGUAGGUCAAAAAAUGCUCGUGGCGUAUUCCUUUACAAUGUUCGCCUACGCCUUCGGCUCCGGCUCACAUUGUAACUCACGCCACUCGCCUUUUUUGACCCUUCUUAUACAACUUCUUCUUCCUCGCGUUGUCCCGGCAUUUUGCCUCGGCUCAUGGGAGCCUGGGGUCCGCUUGACAACUAAUCCCAAGAUUUGGCGUAGGCACUAGUUUUUACGAAAGCGACUGCCAUCUGACCUUCCAGCCCAGAGGGUAAACUAGGCCUUGUUGGGAUUAGUCCGGUUUCCUCACGAUGUUUUCCUUCACCGAAAAGCGACUGGCAAAUAUCAAAUGAUAUUUCGUACAUAAGUUCCGAAAAACUCAUUGGUACGAGCCGGGGUUUGAACCCGCGACCUCCGGAUUGCAAGUCGCACGCUCUUACCACUAGGCCACCAGCGCUCCUAACUGUUGCAUAAAAUACUAUUUUGAGCUCCCGAUAUUUCGACGCACUCACAUGCACCUUGUUCACGGGUAACUGGAGAUAGCGGGUGGGUCAAAGUAUAAAAGGUAAUCAUCAGGCUUCGAAGUACUUUUAGCAUGGUAAGACUAAAGUGAGCUAUGGAGUCGUUGUUAAAAUUAAAAUGAAAGACAUACUCAUCCUCAUUUAUUAAAUGCGUUCGGAUCGUUUUAAAAUAUUCGUAUAUGUUAUAUGAAUAUUUAUAACGACCAUUAUAGGUAUAUGUUAUACUGUUUACAUAUAUGUAAUUAAAUGUUACAUUAUAAAAAUAUAAUCAAUAUCCAAGAAAAGAAGCCAUCGUAAUAGCAAACGCUCAAACCGCAUUGCUGGAUAUGAACAUGCCAAACUAGCAUAGUUUUAUUAAAGGCAAUUAUUAAGUUAUUGUUUUAAAAUUACAGUGUACUAGUAUUCCAAUAAAGCAAGCGUUUCAAAUAAUAGGCGACAUUACACUACUGAGACAAUUAAAGAUAAAUUAGAAAAAGUUCUUGAAAGGAAGCCAGAUAUUAAUGAAAUACGAAUGAUGGCAAGCUCACAACUAUUUGAGGAACUUCUAAAACAUGCAACUUUACCUUCAGUCGAUGUAGAAAGGUCUUUUUCGAAUCAUAAGUGGGUUUUUAACCAACAUAGAACAUGUUUCACUCCAAAGAACAUGGAAAGUGUCAAUUAUUUACACAUUUUACAACUGGAAUGAUGAACGUGUACACGUCAUACCACGUGAAGAUUAUGAAGAACUCAUUCCUUUAGCUACAUGUUCUAUGGAUGUAUUGUAGUACCUGCAUAUUAUUUGUUAUUCGUCAAUUAAGAUGGUGGUGUAUUUUUUUAUAGUUAUUAUUUAUUUUAUGAAUUAAAUGAAUGAGGAUGAGUAUGACUUUAAUUUUAAAGUUGACAACGACUACAUAGCACACUUUAAUCUUACCGUGCUAAAAAUACUCCGAAGCCUGGAAUCAUGGUCCAUGAAAUAGUACGCAUUACGAUACAAGUGCCAAAAAUAGGAAAUUCAAAACGAGUGGCGAUAAAUUCAAACACGACCGAAGGGAGUGUUUUAAAUCGACACGAGUUGCGAAUUACCUAUUCGCACAUGUAUCGUAAUGCACUAUUCCAACAAACUUAUGGCCUUUACAGUACACAUACACAUACAGUACAUAUGGCCCUUUAAAUGUUCGACACAGUAACGUAAUAUGCUAAUUUUCGCAGUAGCACCAUAUGUACUGUAAUAGUUAAUUACGAUACAAGUGCAGAAAAUAGGAAAUUCGCACGUGUAUCGUACGUUUUUUUACAGUACAUAGGUCUUUAAAGUUUCGACAUAUCGGAAAGUGCUCAUUUCCGAACGUGUGCGGGAAAGUAGCACCAUAUGUACUGGAAAGGUUCUUUUAAUAAUUUUAACAUAUUGCCUUAAAAUAACGCCUUUAGGGCCUACGCUAGCUGACGCGGGUGCACGGAGCGGACGAGCGGGUUAACGAAAAAUAGUAUGAGCAACGCUAACCGAAGCGGACGCGUGCGGCGGAUUUCACCUACAAAUAGCACCCGCGUGCGUGCGCACGCGGCGGGCGUCCGCAUCAGCUAGCGUAGGCCCUUACAAGGCGUAUGCCCAUUUGUUUCCCUUCCCAACUGCAACAGAGCCACAGAUGGGAGCGAUUCAUUUAUAUUUGAAGAGGAGUUUCUGCUUGUACAAUUGUACCUACCGCCCUAAAAUGAAAUGAAUGACUUUGUAAACUUCAAAUAGGUAAUUGCAACGUAGGUAACUAUACUUUUUAUGCAACCACUGAAACAAUUUGAUACUUAAAGGGUGCGCUGUGCUUAUUGUUUUUGUUUCUCGUAUUGUUACAAGACGGAAGCAGAAUACACAAUAUGUGGAAUUA